rnacentral:rRNA from 1 species
CGCCGGCGAGUGGCGGACGGGUGAGUAAUGCCUGGGGAGCUGCCCAAUCGAGGGGGAUACCAGUUGGAAACGACUGCUAAUACCGCAUACGCCCUGAGGGGGAAAGGUGGGGAUCUUCGGACCUAUCGCGAUUGGAUGCACCCAGGUGGGAUUAGCUAGUUGGUGAGGUAACGGCUCACCAAGGCGACGAUCUCUAGCUGGUCUGAGAGGAUGACCAGCCACACUGGAACUGAGACACGGUCCAGACUCC